GCUCUGACUAGGUUGCACUACU
rnacentral:miRNA from 2 species